AGUGAACGCUGGCGGUAGGCCUAACACAUGCAAGUCGAACGGCAGCACAGUAAGAGCUUGCUCUUACGGGUGGCGAGUGGCGGACGGGUGAGGAAUACAUCGGAAUCUACUUUUUCGUGGGGUAUAACGUAGGGAAACUUACGCUAAUACCGCAUACGACCUACGGGUGAAAGCAGGGGAUCUUCGGACCUUGCGCGAUUGAAUGAGCCGAUGUCGGAUUAGCUAGUUGGCGGGGUAAAGGCCCACCAAGGCGACGAUCCGUAGCUGGUCUGAGAGGAUGAUCAGCCACACUGGAACUGAGACACGGUCCAGACUCCUACGGGAGGCCGCAGUGGGGAAUAUUGGACAAUGGGGGAAAGCCUGAUACAGCAAUACCGCGUGGGUGAAGAAGGCCUUAGGGUUGUAAAGCCCUUUUGUUGGGAAAGAAAAGCAGCAGGUUAAUACCCCGCUGUUCUGACGGUACCCAAAGAAUAAGCACCGGCUAACUUCGUG
rnacentral:rRNA from 1 species